AGCUGAUACACUACAUUGGAUUUUUCAAGACUUGAAUAAGAACCCAGCUAAUAUUAUAUACCUUCAAAAUCUGCAACAGUGAAACGCCACUGAGAGCUGUUGACAGAUGCAUGCCAUCUACAAAGACUGCUAUGGUGAUCAUGUCUGCUGUCUUGGUAACAGCCUUGAAGGUGGACAUCUAGAAGACCAUGGGCCAAAGUUUUAAAGACGGUAAGUGUGGUGACCUAGUAGAAGUAACUGGCUGUGCAGGUAGGGUUAAAAUUUCCUGGAAUGCUAAAUAUUUUUGGAUUCCCAAGGUUUUUCUUACAGGUGC